ensembl:lncRNA
GGGAAACAGAGGGAGAGAGGGAUUGAUAUUAUGAGGAAACAGAGGGAGAGAGGGAGUGAGAUUAGGGGAAACAGAGGGAGAUUGAGAUGAGGAAAACAGAGGGAGAGAGGGAGUGAGAUUAGGGAAAAACAGAGGAAGAGAGGGAGAGAGAUUAGGGGAAAACAGAGGGAGUGAGAUUAGGGGAAAACAGAGUGAGAGAGGGAGUGAUAUUAUGGGAAAACAGACGGAGAGAGGGAGUGAGAUUAGGGGAAAACAGAGGGAGAGAGGGAGUGAGAUUAGGGAAAAACAGAGGGAGAGUGGGAGUGAGAUUAGGGGUAAACAGAGGGAGAGAGGGAGUGAGAUAAAGGGAAAACAGAGGGAGAGAGGGAGUGAGAUUAUGGGAAACAGAGGGAGAGAGGGAGUGAGAUUAGAGGAAAACAGAGGGAGAGAGGGAGAGAGAUUAGGGGAAAACAGAGGGAGUGAGAUUAGGGGAAAACAGAUGGAGAGAGGGAGUGAGAUUAGGGAAAACUGAGGGAGCGAGGGAUUGAUAUUAGGGGAAA